AGAGUUUGAUCCUGGCUCAGGAUGAACGCUAGCUACAGGCUUAACACAUGCAAGUCGAGGGGCAUCAGGAAGAAAGCUUGCUUUCUUUGCUGGCGACCGGCGCACGGGUGAGUAACACGUAUCCAACCUGCCCUUUACUCGGGGAUAGCCUUUCGAAAGAAAGAUUAAUACCCGAUGGGAUAAUUAUUCCGCAUGGUUUGAUUAUUAAAGGAUUCCGGUAAAGGAUGGGGAUGCGUUCCAUUAGGUUGUUGGUGAGGUAACGGCCCACCAAGCCUUCGAUGGAUAGGGGUUCUGAGAGGAAGGUCCCCCACAUUGGAACUGAGACACGGUCCAAACUCCUACGGGAGGCAGCAGUGAGGAAUAUUGGUCAAUGGGCGCUAGCCUGAACCAGCCAAGUAGCGUGAAGGAUGAAGGCUCUAUGGGUCGUAAACUUCUUUUAUAUAAGAAUAAAGUGCAGUAUGUAUACUGUUUUGUAUGUAUUAUAUGAAUAAGGAUCGGCUAACUCCGUGCCAGCAGCCGCGGUAAUACGGAGGAUCCGAGCGUUAUCCGGAUUUAUUGGGUUUAAAGGGAGCGUAGGUGGACUGGUAAGUCAGUUGUGAAAGUUUGCGGCUCAACCGUAAAAUUGCAGUUGAUACUGUCAGUCUUGAGUACAGUAGAGGUGGGCGGAAUUCGUGGUGUAGCGGUGAAAUGCUUAGAUAUCACGAAGAACUCCGAUUGCGAAGGCAGCUCACUGGACUGCAACUGACACUGAUGCUCGAAAGUGUGGGUAUCAAACAGGAUUAGAUACCCUGGUAGUCCACACAGUAAACGAUGAAUACUCGCUGUUUGCGAUAUACAGUAAGCGGCCAAGCGAAAGCAUUAAGUAUUCCACCU
rnacentral:rRNA from 1 species